CAAGAAAGUAAAACAUAGUGCAAAGAAAGAAUAAUGCUUUAGCUGAGAUCAGAUAACUGCAUUGAAUAAAAAAAAAUGUUCCAUUUUUACCACUGUCACUUUUUUGACAAAAGCAAUAAUGUUCUACAUUUUCCUCUUUCUAUCACCAGCUCCUCAAAUAUGAGUAUAUGACAGAUAUUGCAUUGCCUCUGAUCCAGCUUGUUUAAUCUUUUUG
rnacentral:misc_RNA from 1 species